AUUCUAUUCUAGAUCAGCGAGUCCACGACCCGGCCAAGGUGAAGGGGGAUUAGGAAUCUUAUCAUGCUUUGCGACCUAUCGCGCAGCGUAGGUACAAACAAGCAAGGCGUAGAUGCAUCGAACUGAAAGGUACCGGGUGACCUCCUAGGCGCGGCCGUAGUGCUACCAAGCCACAGAACCUCAUCCCUGAUAUUCAUCGGAGGGCUGUGAUCUGAUAGGAGCACGGAGUGCCUGUCGGGGCAUUUGCCAAUGUUUUCAAUAAUUUUCUCGCCGCUUUAGCCAGGAGACAUGAUUUCUUUAAUCUUUUUUUGAUGUGGAAAUCACAACGAAUUGAUGCGCUAGUGGCUUGUUGGAGAUAUAUAUGUCGAUUUUUCUUCCUUGAUGAUAACAUUUGUGCUUGGACUUACUGCUUCACGCAAAUCAAUAUAUCAUUCAAGAGGUGGCGAUCUGAGGUGAAGAAAAAAUAUUUCAUGUAAAUAACAAACGAUUGGGAACGCUUUUGGCAUCUUGACGAGCGUGUAGAUGGAGUAGAAUUUUUUACACUUUGUGAUUACUGGGACACGGCUGAAAUCCAGGCUCAAGCUGAAAUAGCAAGGAGGAACCGCAAUGCUCCCCAUAGUUACGAGCAUCACAGGGUUCCAGGUCCUUUAGCCAGCAUUAUCAUCAAUUGUCGCUUGAGGGAAGGGGAGAUCUCGGACAUUUUGCAGAUCGUAUUCUGACUUCUUGGAGCCCGAAUUACACCAAUGAAGAGAAUAAGACGAAGAACAAGGAUCUGGUUAUAAGUAGCAGUUCAUUUGUAUAUUCAAUUUCAUAACAAUGCAUCAUUAAAAAGUUGACUUGCCCGGGUUGUUUUGAAAUAUCGCAGGAGAAAUUACAUGCCAAGGUACAAGAGCAAAUAUCUCAGUCUCAGGUUGAUUCUAGCACUCUGGCCCGGCUAAGUAGAGAGGAGGAGGACUCCAUUAUCGAGACGGUCAUUGGACCAAGUAGGAAGAACAGAUACCGGUGGAGAGGAUCCGAGCAGAAGCCGCACGAGUCUAGUAGCACUUACGAGUCUGCAGCACCACCAGGAACACCAGGAAACAGUUCAUAUCAAGACUCGAUGGAGCAGCGGAUGAAAGCGAUUGAAGAUUGGCAAUCACAGCAAAUAACAUAUCAGCGGAUUGCGGAGGAAGAACGAAGGCGCCGGAGCAGCAACAAUUAGAGUUCACACAGCUCAUGUCGACUCAGUCUGAAGAGGCUCAGGAAGGCAUAUAGGAGACGAUUUAUGGCGGAUCAGGCCGGGACUUCUAGACAAUGUGAAGCUGGUGAUGAGGAGGAUGAUGAUGAUGAUCAGGAGGACUGAUUUAUUUUUUAACCUUUGAAAACAAUGAAUGAGUGUGUUGUAUAAACAAUAUUUAUCAUGGUGUGUGCUGUAUAAACAACGUUUAUUAUGCUGGGAUAUUUUAAUUAAAUUAUAUGUGUUAUAUAUGUAUGAGAAUGAAUAUUA